CCGUUGCCGGCGACCGGCGCACGGGUGAGUAACACGUAUGCAACCUGCCCGUGGCAGGGGGAUAAGCGGGGGAAACCCCGUCUAAUACCGCGUAACGCGGCCUUGGGGCAUCCCAAGGCCGCCAAAGGGAGCAAUCCCGGCCACGGAUGGGCAUGCGGCGCAUUAGCUAGUCGGCGGGGUAACGGCCCACCGAGGCGACGAUGCGUGGGGGUUCUGAGAGGAAGGCCCCCCACACUGGUACUGAGACACGGACCAGACUCCUACGGAAGGCAGCAG
rnacentral:rRNA from 1 species